rnacentral:lncRNA from 10 species
AGAAGGAGCCCGCGACCCUCUCCCCGGGAGGGCCCCCCUGAGCUCCCCGACUGCUCGGACUUCCCUUCGGCGGAUCUCGCUUCUGCCGAGUCCUCGCUCUCACCUCCUCCUCCGCCAGCCUUCGCCUCUUCCUCUUCCUCCUCACUACCCCCGACAGUAAAAUGAAGGGGCUGGGCCAGGCUGGUCCCUCCUGCCUUCGCUCUCUGCUGGUCGCGGUGGCCUGUAGCUCCUCCCUCGGUAGGACCCCCCUCCACCUUGGCGCUUACGAGAUGAAUGAGGAGCCCAGACCUCUGGAACUUGGAGGGGGAAAAUAAAAGAAGCAAAAACAGGCCCUGCUGUGAGGGACCACGAGGCAGUGCCAGGAUGAAAGAGUUGGAGUAACCUAGGUGAUUCUGAGUGAAUCAGUCAGGAGGCCUUCCUGGAGGGGACCAUUGCAGGUACUGUGCCUUCUGCCUGAAAUGUGCUCACCUCGCCUC